CAAAACCCACCGUCAAUAUUUCACUAAAAAACAAUCAGAAAUUCAUUUUUAAAACGAUAAAUAAAUUUAAAAAAUGUAAUUAAAUAAUUAAAAAAAAUGUUACAUGUUUGUGGCAGUUGCCUACAAUCAUAAAGCGUGGACGGUGCUUGUGGCGAUGCAUGUCAAUUAUUAAAACAAAAACGUGACAGCCAUGUCUUAACAUGUUUGACAAUCCAAAAAUGGUCGAAUCUCAACCGAUCUUGUAAAGUAUAACAACAAUUUCACCAAAUACUCGUACAAUUUCGCAACAUUGGAUCUUAAUUGUGUUUUACUUUCAUAGUUCUUCGAUAAGACUUUAAUCACACGUAAUAGGUUUAAAGUGACAUAAAUAAUAUAUUUCAAAUUUUUUAUAACGCAGAUUCGAACUAAGACUAGCUCUAUGAUCAUACUGUAAUAGAACCAACUCAUGCUUAACAUGUCAUGCAACGUAACAGCUAAACACAAUGCAACUCAGACAAACGAACGUGAUCAUGAGAUACAAUCGCUUAAUGGGUUAUUCACUCCGCAUCGAAUUUUAAUAAUUUAAACCGUUUAUUCUUCAAAUUUCAUGUCAUGGAUCAUCUUUGAAAAAAAUAGUGAAAAUGGUUACCUGGUCGAAGGAGCAGGGCAGAAAGUGAUGAUGUAAUUGGCGGAAGCACAGGUGAAGGUGCUGGUGCCGUCGUCAUACGCAUAGCUGUAAGCUUUCGGGCACGCAUUUUUAAAAAACUGCGAAUAAGAACUCGGCUUGCAUGUGUCCGGCGUAGCGUAGGCGCCGCUACAGCAGUACUGCGGCUCCCCAAACGCCUCGCACGCGCUUUUACACGCCACGCCCUCGUCACUCGCCGUCACCUUCAGCUCCGAGGGGCACCCGUUGUUCAAGUCCACCACGCACCCGGUGGUCGUGCAGUUCCCUCCGGUCCCGCCCUCGGCCACCACUAACAUGGGAAGGUUAUACCCAUCGACCAAGCUCACGUCGUAGAAAUCAAGCCCGCCCGCACCGUUCAGCGUGAACUCUGCGAGAGUAGCAGGCGGCGCGGCUCCACCGCCAGCACAUUCGACUGCCGAAGAUCCGCAGUCACCUGUCAAGCAAGAGAACUUGCCUGUGGUUGAGUCCUGGGAGCAGAGCGUCCGCCCCCAUAACCUACCGGACCACGAGGUGGGAACGGAAAACGUGUUGGACUCUCCAGGACCCAAAGCGAAUCCAGUGGUGGGUAGCUGGUCAGUCCCGGCAUUCGACAAAAUGCCCGGCCAUAUGGUCGUGGUGCACUUGUUUGCGAUGGUGAACGUCGCCGAGUAGCCGACUCUAAUGGAUUGAAGGAGACAGAGAAGGAAUAGGAACGAUGAAAAAACUUGAUGGGAAGCCAUUGGAAGUGAAAUGUCUCCUUUUUAUGUGCUUUUUUGUUUCAGGUAGUGUGGGAGAGGGGGUUUUUAUAGGGAAGGGGAGAGAGUUGGGAGUCAUGUGGGAGAAUAUGGGGAGGGGGGGCUCACGAGUCACGAUGGCAGAGAUCAUGUGACGUGUUUUUGUGUCUCUGUUUUUAGUGGCGGCAACUUGUGCAGAGAAGGCAUUGUAAUAAUAUGUUUGAAAAGUUUGAGUAACGUUAGAGAAAUUAAAUUUUUAAGACAAAUGCUAUGGAGAUUUUUUUUAAAGUAAAGGUAACUAGUUUUGAAUUUGAGUGAACAUAACGAUGCAUUACUCUAAAUAAUUUAGCCGACUUACUAGAAAAACUUUCAAGCAAUGUGAAUAUUGUUGCAGCAUUAUUACCAGAAACUAUUUAUAAACUAUCAAAAGUUAAAUAAUCAACUAUAUUAAGUUGAUUAGUUUGAUUAGUUUGAGCCAAUAACACAAUUAUAUUUCUAUUAAGUUUCUCUGCUAAACGACUUAUGCGUUUGGAGAAGUUUAUAAAACUUGCUUGUUAUUGGGACGCGCAAAGUUUCUUGUAUUAAUUUGAGCUUAUUCCAGAGCUCAGAAAGUGCGGCUCCAAACUUACAUGUUUGGAUUUGGAUAUGGAUUUCGGGAAGUGAUCCGGUAGAAGCCAGACUCGUGAACUUUCAGCGUGUCAGUUGAAAAUAUCAGACCAGUCAAUGAAGGUAGCAGAUAUCCACCUUACACGUGGAAUUUCGACACUAUUGUGUGAGAAGCAACAUGAGUCAUGCAUUAGGAAACUGCCACGUGUUCAAUAAAUCCUGACACGGUCUUCCUCCCUAGGUCUAGGCAACAUGGUUAGGUAAUCGGAAUCAAAUAUCAUACUCUUGAAGCUUGUAAUUGGGUGAUUGUCAGCCGUUAAUAUAUGUAAUGUAUUAUUCAUUGUUGAUGUACAUAAAUUUUGUACGUGUACAAAAAAAGCUAUACUUCCGAUUGUAUGGCAAAACAGCUCUUAAAUGACAGUCCACAAAACGCAUUUCAAUCGAGUACAAAAUUGACGUGACCUGAGCAAUUGCCUUGUUCUCAAGAUUCUAACCUAGCUUUCACUUACUCUUUCGCAGAACAAGAUUGAACAAGUUGAAGGCUUCAAGUAGUGGAAAAUGGUAAACAAUCCCUCUCAAACACAGUGGUGUUUUUUGAUAUGUACAUACCAACUUGGAAAGCCAAUCUCAACUUGGAAACUUGUAAUACUAAUACAGAGUUUCUACCAGCAUUCCGAAAUAGUUAUUCAACACUCAUCUCAUUUUCGAGUGCCAAUAUGAUUCUCUAAUAUUUAAUUUUAGCGGGCGAGAGAGGUGGAUUGGUCUUCACCAAAUAUAAAAAAAGUGGGUAUCAUGAGAUUAGCAAUUAGAAAAUGAAAUUCAACCUUAAAUUUCAAUGACGAGUGCGCAAACGUUGAUUUCGUUUCAAGCAAGCAACUUGACACCAACCCAGGGCAGGCAACCUAAAACUUCAACGAUGACGAGUGCGCGAAUGUUGCUUUCGUUACAAGUAAGCAACUUGACAACUAGCCCGGGGGAAGGGUUUGGGGCAAAAACAGAAGGGGAACAGGGGCAGUGUCCUCUGAAAACCUGAAGGGCCAGACCGAUAGAGACCCAAAACAUUUGCCUAUUGCUGCAGCCCAUGCUCCUUGGGUCAGUUCAAAACACAAAUUCAGGUCAACCCAGAAAGUCCAAAAAGAUGAGAAAUAUCCACUCCAUCAGAUUUGCAAACCCAAAUUAAGACCAGAUUUGCACGUUUAAUUACUAUUUCUUGUACAGUGCAGCUUCAACAGGUGACAGUAAAAACUCUUGUACAACAGAACCAAUGCAUACAAUAGGUUUCGGCCGCUGUUAUCACGAGCCGAAGUCAUAUCCCGGUUUAUGGAUGCGGGAAGUAGAGCACCUUCAAUGUUGAAACAUAGAAGAACAUGACAUCCGCCUGAAGGUUCCGUUCAUUCACAGAAUUCCAAAUGUUCAGUUAGAAACUAUCCCUAUUGCCUAACCUAUCAAGUAUCCAUACAGCACAAUGAGCAGGGACCGACAGAGAAGUAGGAAAACGAUUCACUCCAAGCGUUUAAUGUCCAGAGCUAAGUAAAAGGCUUACAGCUACAAGAGGAAAGUUAUACCGUAACCUUGAAACACGGGGCUAAACAGGAAGGAAGCCACACAAAGGCAGACAGGGAUCAACAAAAGAUUUAUAGAAGCAACACUCCAAUCUAUCCAUCAACAUUCGAAGGUAAACAAUCCACGUGAAAGGAUUCGCAAGCUUGACAGGUCCUAUUAAAGCUUAUGCUAGUUUGAAAACUGCGCCCGGGAUAUACUAACACUUUGCCGGGAAGGCUUAAAAGGCUUUUCUUGGGUAGAACCAAACAGACCCAGAUGGGAGUGACAAGCUGCUUAAGUCAUUUGCAGCCCUACUCCCACCCACCAUCACUUAAGCAACAGCAGAUACGAACUGACACACACAUACCCUAUUACAAUCUGUUCGUCAAAUCCUAAUGCUAAAUGUGAUUUAAAACUUCAAAUCCAAUGUCCACCUAACGCAAAAAACAACAAUCAAAACCCAAGCUUAUGCUAUAAUACAACCUAAACCCAAAUCAAGACGGUGUAAAUGUGAACUCAGGGCUUUGUGGAGCAAACACAACAGUAGGUUUCAAGUGAAUGCAGCACCACGGCGGCAGCUAUACUAUAUGUAACAAUCGAUUAUGACAAAGAUUAUCACAAGUUCACUAAUCAAGCAUAAUCAGAACAAUACGCUUACAAAUCCUAUCCCUUAUUAACUAAUAACACAAAAGCAAGUGGUUCAUCUCCUUUUCUCCUAAUGAUCGAAACACCUCAAAGUUUUUCUAGACUAGACAUGAUCUCGAUCUCUCAACAUCAACAAGAUGUAACAAUUACCAAAUUUAAACAACAAUGACAAAAGCAAGUGGCAAUACCUAGCUGCAAACAAGAUGAUAAUCAACUCUAUUGCCUAAAGUUGAAGACAAUUGAAGACAUUCGAUUCAACUUCCGCCAAACCGAAAAUAAUACAACACAGUCAAACCACCACAUCAAUGCAUUAGAGAUACCAUAAAUUCACACUUGACAAGAAAAUCAAGACCAUGUAGCCGUGUAGUGCCACAACAGUUGAAAAUAUCUAAUUCAACUUCCAACAAAAAGAAUAUCAUCAAACCACACACAUCGUUCGAUUAUAAAGUAGAGACCAAGAUUAAAACUUGAAAUAUAAGGCUUUCAAUUUAAUAGCUCCCAGAGUCAUCGAUAACAAGGAUUAAUAUGAAAAGGGCGCCUAGUUCUAUAGCCGAACCGCCGCAUAUACGUAUGUAAAAGGAGAAAACUUGUUCGCCAAACAACAACGCUUAUCAUCCAUCAGAGAAAUUUAAACCCUCUUGCAAAAACCAUCAUGUGUAUAUCCCACCAAAACGCAAAAUUAAGAGACCCAAUUACCAAAAGACUAAUGCUUUAGCAAAAAAACACUAAAGAUUCUUGAAGAGAAUAUUUACUAUUACUCUCUCUCUUCUUUUUUAUUUUCUUCAAGCCUUGGCAUUAGGAGGAUUAGAACACUCCAUAUCGUCUUUGAGCUCGGCAGGGCACCUACGGCUGAGGUCCGUAACGCACCCGGUGGACGGUUCCCCCACUCCCCUCAACGAUCAUUGGUAAGUUAUAACCGUCAAUGAGGCUGACGUCAUAGAAGUCUUGAGAACCCGAGCCGAGUGUGAACUCGGCUAAGGUGGCCGGUGGCGCAGCUCCAGCACCGUUGCACUCGAGCUCGCCCGAGGCCCAGUCUCCGGUCGACAAGAACCGCGACCUGAACCGUCAAAGCUGCAGCCAGUUCGGCCCCAGAAGCGACCGGAUCAGCCGGUCGGGGCUUGGAAAACGCGGGAACUGCCUUUGGGAAGCUCGAAGCCGGUGCUGUUUAGCUUGUAUAUAACUCUCAAUAUCGUUGUAUUUAAAAAACGAAAAUCACAAGACAAAGGCAUGCAAAGGGUCAUGUAGUAACGAUUUUUCAGUGCGUCCAUAACAGGUCCGUUACACAACAUAUUAUUAUACAAUUAAAUGAAUACUUAAAAAAAAUAAAAAUUCCUUUCAAUUGUUAAAUGAGGCACCAAGUGUCACUCAUAUUAGUGUCGAUUUAAUUUUUAUAUUAUUAAAAAUAGAGAAUAGGAAUCACAUGCAAUAUUGCAAAAUUCAAAGAGACAAUGACCUUUGUCUGAAGGACACUAGAUAGAACACCGUUGAGUUGGUUAAUUAAUUGGUUACAUGGCGAGUUUUGGUUUAGAAUUAGGAGGCAAGCCACAAGGUAUAAUUGGUAUUAGUGUGGGAGAGCUUUAUUCUGCCGCCCAAUUGAGCCAAUUGAGGUACUUGGUUUCAUGGGAUUGCUGCUCUAAAUCAACUUCAAUUGAAAAAUCUUGCACUGAAUGACACCGAUGUAGUAUCGGCCAAUACUUAUAAAAUGAGGCGUAAAAGUAAAAGAAAUAUGUACAAAAAUGGUUCUUAUUUUAUUAACUUGAUCAUCGGAGUACUUUGUACCAAAACAACAACGGCAUCGCAAUCUUCGAUUUAUUUCUUACAGUUGAGAUCAUAACUUACUCAUCAAUAGUGAAAAUGGUUACCUAAUCCAAGGAGCAGGGCAAAAAGUGAUGAUGUAAUUGGCGGAAGCACAGGUGAAGGUGCUUGUGCCGUCGUCAUACGCAUAGAUGUAAGCUUUCGGGCACCCAGUUUUAAAAAAUUGGGAGUAAGAACUCGGCAUGCAUGUGUCCGGCAUAGCGUAGGGGCCGCUACAGCAGUACUGCGGCUCCCCAAACGCCUCGCACGCGCUUUUACACGCCACUCCCUCCUCACUCGCCGUCACCUUCAGCUCCGAGGGGCACCCCUUGUUCAAGUCCACAACGCACCCGGUGGUCCUGCAGUUCCCUCCGGUCCCGCCGUCGGCCACCACCAAAAUGGGAAGGUUAUACCCAUCGAUCAAGCUCACGGCGUAGAAAUCAAGCCCGCCCGUACCGUUCAGCGUGAACUCUGCGAGAGUAGCCGGCGGCGCGGCCCCACCGCCAGCACAUUCGACUGCAGAAGAUCCGCAGUCGCCUGUCAAGCAAGAGAAGUUGCCCGUGGUUGAGUCCUGGGAGCAGAGCGUUCGCCCCCACAACCUACCGGACCACGAGGUGGGGACCGAAAACGUGUUGGACUCUCCAGGAGCCAAAGCGAAUCCGGUGGUGACCGGUCGCUGGUCAGUCCCGCCAUUAGACAGAAUGGCCGGCCAUAUGGUGGUGGUGCAAUUGUUUGCGAUGGUGAACGUCGCCGGGUAGCCGACUCGAAUGGAUUGAAGGAGACAGAGAAGGAAAAGGAACGAUGAAAAAGCUUGAUGGGAAGCCAUUGGAAGUGAAAUGUGCUCUUUUUGUUUCAGUAGGUGGUGUGGGAGAAUGUUGCUUUUUUAUAGGGAAAGAGGAGAGAGUUAGCAGUCGUGUCGUGUGGGAAGAAUAUGUGACGUGUGUUUUGCGUCUCUAGUUUUAUAGGCGGCAACUUGUGCAGAGAAGGCAUUGUAAUAAUAUGCUAAUCUAUUUUAUUUAUAUGUUUGUGAACUUUAUUACCUGUAAAGCAAAUAUGUGACAAGUGGACAUGUGUCGAAAUUCCACGUUUAAGGUGGAUAUUUGAUUUGACCAAACAUAAAAAAAAAAUUUUAAAAAAAGGUAAAUAGUUGGUACGUUCAUCGACUGCUCUGAUAUUUUCAGCGGACAUGCAGAAGAGUUGUGGUGGGACCACUGCUUAAUAAAUUGGAUAAAGCAGAGCUUCCCCUGAAAUUCCAGAAGAGUUGUGGUGGGAACCACAAAAGAAAUGUGAGAUUUUGAUUUGUGGUUGGAAGUUGGAACCAUUUGAUUUGUGGUUGGAAGUUGGAACCAUGGAAGAGUUGGGAGCACCUUCUUUUCUUUUUCUUUUUCUUUUUUUUUUUUUUUUGGAAUAACCUUUCCGAAGAAAGGAGACAAUUUUAUUUCAAACUUUAGAUUACACAUACAAGGUAGACACUGCCAACGAAGGUAGACAGAGAGAAGGAGAAGGAGGUGGUGUGUUAAACACCCGAGCCAAUGAGUCCACCGGAGCUCUACGUACCCCUAAAACGAUCGCAACCAUGUGCUUUGAAAUCUGACAGCAGAUCGAGUUGAAAGUAUGUGGGGGAAAACAGGCGUUGGGUAGAGACAUUUUGGGUAAAUCAGGAAGAACUGGGAGGAACAGUAACAAAAAAACUGAGAAACAAAAAGCAAAACAAAAACCUUUCCUCCAACCCCCGCCACAGCGAGGGCCUUCGACAACAAUUUUAAUCGAUGAGGGAAUCACUCACACACAGAUGGUGGAAAAGACUCUCAAGAAGAGAGAAGGAACUCUCACACGGAGAGAAAAGUUUCAAUUCUGUACAUGGAUGAUAUUUGUUCAAUCAUAUGUGGUAUCAUCGUCAACUAUUUGGGACACUUAGACCAUCUUCAAUCCAAAUCUUCAAUCCAAGGUUGGUCAGAUGGUUCAUUUUAGCCCCUCUAGCUUUUCAAGAUAUUAAUAUUUUAAUCAACAGUACAUGAUCAUAUUAGUCUCAGAGACCCAGAUGGGAGUGAAAAGGAUUUGCACAUUUAAUUACUAUUUCCUCUACAGUGCAGCUUCAAUAGGUGACAGUAAAAACUCUUGUAUCUACAUUUGUGACAGGAUUACCAAAAAUAAGAACCAAGCAAUGCAUACAAUAGGUUUUGGCCGCUGUUAUCACGAGCCGAAUUAGAGCACCUUCAAUGUUGAAAUAUACAAGAACAUGACAUCCGCCUGAAGGUUCUCUUCAUUUAAAGACCAUCACAGAUUUCCAAAUGUUCAGUUAGUAACUAUCCCUAUUGCCUGACCUAUCAAGUAUCCAUACAGCACAAUGAGCAGGGACCGACAGAUAAGUAGGAAAACGAUUCACUCCAAGCGUGUAAUGUCCAGAAGCGACCGGACCAGCCGGCCGGGGCUUGUUCUAUAGCCGAACGGCCACAUAUAUGUAUGUAAAAGGGGAAAACUUGUUCGCCAAACGACAACACUUAUCAUCCAUCAGAGAAAUUAAAACCCUUUUGCAAAAACCAUCAUAUGUAUAUCCCACCAAAACGCAAAAUUACGGGACCCAAUUACAAAAGACUAAUGCUUUAGCAAAAAAAUAUAAAAGGUUCUUGAAGACAAUAUUUACUAUUACUCUGUCUCUUCUCUUUUAUUUUUCAAGCCUUGGCAUUAGGACGAUUUUAGUCUUAAAAUCAUCAAUAGUGCAAAUGGUUACCCGAUCGAAGGAGCAGGGCAGAAAGUGAUGAUGUAAUUGGCGGAAGCACAGGUGAAGGUGCUGGUGCUGUCGUCAUACGCAUAGCUGUAAGCUUUCGGGCACGCAUUUUUAAAAAACUGCGAGUAAGAACUCGGCACGCAUGUGUCCGGCGUAGCGUACGGCCCGCUACAGCAGUACUGCGGCUCCCCAAGCGCCUCGCAC
rnacentral:lncRNA from 1 species